rnacentral:rRNA from 1 species
CCCUUAGAUGUUCUGGGCUGCACGCGUGCUACAAUGAAGCGUCCAACAAGAUGCGAAGCCGAAAGGCUCAGCGGAUCUUUGAAGUCGUUUCGUGACCGGGACAGUUGAUUGCAAUUAUUCGACUCGAACGAGGAAUUCCUUGUAAUCGCGAUUCAUCAUAUCGCGCUGAAUACGUCCCUGCCCUUUGUACACACCGCCCGUCGCUCCUACCGAUUGAGCGAUCCGGUGAAUUAUUUGGAGUGUCCACGCAAGCCAAUUCGUUUACGUGGGUGCGAAAUUUUGUAAACCUUAUCGCUUAGAGGAAGGAAAANUCGUAACA